AACGAACGCUGGCGGCGCGCCUAAUACAUGCAAGUCGAGCGAGAAGACGUAGCAAUACGUUUGUAAAGCGGCGAACGGGUGAGGAAUACAUGGGUAACCUACCCUCGAGUGGGGAAUAACUAGCCGAAAGGUUAGCUAAUACCGCGUACGCUCCUUGGACUUCGGUUCAGGGAGGAAAGCGAUACCGUGGGUAUCGCGCUCUUGGAUGGGCUCAUGUCCUAUCAGCUUGUUGGGAGGUAC
rnacentral:rRNA from 1 species